GUGCCAGCCGCUGCGGUAAUACCGGCAGCCCGAGUGAUGGCCGAUCUUAUUGGGCCUAAAGCGUCCGUAGCUGGGUCUGAAAGUCCAUCGGGAAAUCCACUCGCUCAAUGAGUGGCCGUCCGGUGGAAACUGCACGGCUUGGGACCGGAAGGCGCGACGGGUACGUCCGGGGUAGGAGUGAAAUCCCAUAAUCCCGCACGGACCACCGAUGGCGAAAGCACUUCGAGAAAACGGAUCCGACAGUGAGGGACGAAAGCCAGGGUCUCCAACCGGAUUAGAUACCCCAGUAGUCC
rnacentral:rRNA from 1 species